GGCGAGCGCUGGCGGCGUGCUUAACACAUGCAAGUCGAGCGGAAAGGCCCUUUCGGGGGUACUCGAGCGGCGAACGGGUGGGUAACACGUGAGUAAUCUGCCCCUGGCUUUGGGAUAGCCACCGGAAACGGUGAUUAAUACCGGAUACGACCACUUCUCGCAUGGGAUGGUGGUGGAAAGUUUUUCGGCCAGGGAUGUGCUCGCGGCCUAUCAGCUUGAUGGUGAGGUAAUGGCUCACCAUGGCUUCGACGGGUAGCCGGCCUGAGAGGGUGACCGGUCACACUGGGACUGAGACACGGCCCAGACUCCUACGGGAGGCAGCAGUGGGGAAUAUUGGACAAUGGGCGGAAGCCUGAUCCAGCAACGCCGCGUGAGGGAUGACGGCCUUCGGGUUGUAAACCUCUUUCAGCAGGGACGAAGCGCAAGUGACGGCACCUGCAGAAGAAGCACCGGCCAACUACGUGCCAGCAGCCGCCGUAA
rnacentral:rRNA from 1 species